rnacentral:lncRNA from 1 species
UUUUGUUUUGUUUUUUUUUUUUUUUUUUUUUUUUUUUUUUUUUUUUUUUUUUUUUUUUUUUUUUUUUUGAUAAACAAGGAUUUUUUUGUGUCAUUGCUAUUUAUUUCCAUUUUUAACCCACUUCAUUAUCUUUCUGCUUAUUUUUUUUCCUUUCAAACGGUUGUAAGUCUCUAUCGUGUCUGCAAUUGCUUAUACUUUUUAAGAAGAUGCAUAGGCAAGAUGUCAUUAAGUAUAGUUGGUUUCCUAUUAGCGGAUUUUGGAAUUAUAAUCUUUUUGAAGUGUUGUAGCAUAUCUUUCUCACUGAUCCACUUGCUCCUAUAAAUACAUCAGUUUGUACUUUUUUUUGAUCCUUCAUUGGUUUGUUUUUCAGGUUUAAGUGGUUGGAUCAAAACAAUCUAAGCUUCAAAUGAAGUUAUACAAAAGUAUUUUUGGUAAGGUGUUUGUAAGUGGUCGUGUUUUUGGUGGAGAUAACGUUUUCCUUACCAAUCAUUUUCAUUUUUCAUCUUCUAAAAUUGGAUUCGACUAACUUUUUUUUCUUUAAUUCUCUUUGUUAUUAUAGGUAGCUCUUGAAAUUUACCAUAAACAAGAUUCCAUUCCCAAACUCCUUCUGAUUUGAUUCCAAAAGCUCCAAUCUCAACACCAUGAAAGCAUUUAUGUUGUGGAAGCCAAGGUUUGAAGGUAAUUUCUAAACCCUAAUUUAAAAGUUUUGAAUAAAGAUUGUUGGAUGGUUUCUUGAAUUGGUGAUAAACCUUAAAACUCAUGAGAUGUUAUUGAAGCUGACAAAUUUGAGGAAUAAUUCUGCACUAAGCUGGAAAUGCUGAAUUUUUCUGAAGUUGGAAAUUUUAAGUAUUUAGAUAUCAUCUUUAAAGUUGUACAGCUUCUUUUAUAAACAUUCAAAUCAAAUCAUUUUUUAGACAAAAAUGUAAUCGGGAAUGAGAGGAAGGUGCAGCAAGUUGAUUUGACUAAUUUGGAGAUAGUAUGUAAAACCUACAACAGCUUAAAGUUGGCCACAAACUAACUUUUGGUGGUGUCAAAUUUGUUGACUUUUUGACAAAUUUGAAAAUUUUAAACAAAUUUAAUAGAAUUAUGUUAGAAUAACUUAAUAAAAUAUGAGAUGUAACUUUUAGCCAAAGUAUGACAAGUUUUGGUUGAGAAAAAUGGAAUUUUACUUAAUUUUAUAAACGACUGAAAUUGUCCGCAUGUCAUAAAAGAACAAAAACGAAAGACGUUGAUAUCUAAAUAUUUUUAUUACUUUGAAAAGAUGUUGGAACCAGAAACUUAAUAACAUGACAUGUUAGAACCUGAGAAAAAACAUUUAUGCAAAGUAGGAUGUCUGAAUGAGAAAAUGGUCAGAAUGCAUCGAUAUGAAAAGUAGUUUAAAAGGUUCCAUGAUUCUUUAUUCGUAUCUUAAACACCAUUUUUACAUUAUUAGGUUAGAUAACAUUGAGUAAACGCAAGAAUGCAUGGUAUUUGGAUAAGUUAUAAAAAUGGGACAAAAGGGCAAAAAUGUCCAAAAUGGGCUUUUUGCUUUUAUAAAGCCCAUGUUUGGGCUAAAUGCAAGUUUUUUUUUUAAGUCCAUGAUUUGGCUGAAUGGAAGUAUAUACCUAUUUUUCGCUUCAACGAGGUACUGGUAUAAUUACAGGCACAAGAUUAUGUACUACCACUUGGAGAUCUUCAAGAAAGUUGAUGUCAUAGUUUCUCCAAGUCUCGGGUGGUAUAUUGCUAUUUUCUUUAUGUUUCUUGAAAUGGAACAUUUUCAUGUCUUUGUAAUGAUCUAUCAUAUGCCCUUAUUUUACUGUUUUAUAAAACUUUUGAUCCCUCACAAUUACAUUAUUAGUAACGCACCAAAAAAAAAUCUUUGAAUUAUACACUACGUAUUUCUGGGAACACUUUGUAAAUCUAACUCCCGCAACACGGAGAUCCUUCCCUAGUUUGUUUGUAAUUUCUUAUUUACUUAAUUGUGACAUUGAAUGAGAAAUUGAGAAUGUCUUUUUCAUUUGCAUAAUUGCAUGCACUUCUAUUUUGGUUUGUUAUUAAUUUUUGUUUAUUUGUUGUUACAAUGAUUUUUGAAAUUUCAAGAGAAAAAAUGGAGAAAAACAACUAGACAACUCUACCGUAAUGUGUUUUCGUUCGUUACUAUUUACUAGUUAUUUUUUAUAUUCUUAAUAGUUACUUUGCAUCUAAAAAGGUUAAAAAAAGGUAUUUUUCA